rnacentral:rRNA from 1 species
ACGAAAGGGGCUAGCGUUGUUCGGAUUUACUGGGCGUAAAGGGCACGCAGGCGGUCUUGCCAGUCAGGGGUGAAAGCCCGGGGCUCAACCCCGGAACUGCCUCUGAUACUGCAGGACUAGAGACUAGGAGAGGGUGGUGGAAUUCCCAGUGUAGAGGUGAAAUUCGUAGAUAUUGGGAGGAACACCAGAGGCGAAGGCGGCCACCUGGACUAGAUCUGACGCUCAGGUGCGAAAGCGUGGGGAGCAAACAGG